rnacentral:misc_RNA from 1 species
UACGAAGGGGGCAAGCGUUGUUCGGAAUUACUGGGCGUAAAGCGUGCGUAGGCGGCCAAGCAAGUUGGAAGUGAAAUCCCAGGGCUCAACCCUGGAACUGCUUUCAAAACUGCUUGGCUAGAAUCUCGGAGAGGAUAGCGGAAUUUCCAGUGUAGAGGUGAAAUUCGUAGAUAUUGGAAGGAACACCAGUGGCGUAGGCGGCUAUCUGGACGAGUAUUGACGCUAAGGCACGAAAGUGUGGGGAGCAAACAGG